ACGCCGCGUGAGUGAUGAAGGCCUUCGGGUUGUAAAGGUUCUGUCUUCAGGGACGAUAAUGACGGUACCUGAGGAGGAAGCCACGGCUAACUACGUGCCAGCAGCCGCGGUAAUACGUAGGUGGCAAGCGUUGUCCGGAUUUACUGGGCGUAAAGGGAGCGUAGGCGGAUACUUAAGUGGGAUGUGAAAUACCUGGGCUUAACUUGGGUGCUGCAUUCCAAACUGGGUGUCUAGAGUGUUGGAGAGGAAAGUGGAAUUCCUAGUGUAGCGGUGAAAUGCGUAGAGAUUAGGAAGAACACCAGUGGCGAAGGCGACUUUCUGGACAAUAACUGACGCUGAGGCUCGAAAGCGUGGGGAGCAAACAGGAUUAGAUACCCUGGUAGUCCACGCCGUAAACGAUGGGUACUAGGUGUAGGGGGUAUCGACUCCCUCUGUGCCGCCGUUAACACAAUAAGUACCCCGCCUGGGGAGUACGGUCGCAAGAU
rnacentral:rRNA from 1 species